UUCUGCUACCGGUUAUUUUAAAUUGUCGCUUAUAUCACUGUGUGAAACAAUAUUUUGAAAUAAUUUUAACACAAGAAACAACAAAAAUCGAAUUUCUAUCUAAAUUGUAAUACAAAUAACAAUUUUCUAGAACGUUUUAAACGAUGUUAGCCGUAAAACUUACCGCAGAUCAAUAAACGUCUGUGAACUUACAUAUAUACAACUCUCUUUCUCUAUAAACGUGAACUUAUGUAUGCAGAACAGUACAAGUCUGAUCUAACUUUAGAAAUUGAUUUUGUAUCCAAAUAGCGCUACUGCAAAGUAGAUAAUUUAUAUAUAUCUAAAAAUAAUAGCUUAUGCAUUAAACCAAUUGAAGGAAGGAAAUAUGCAAACAGUACGAUUGUUAUCAGGGUAUGACAUGCCUACUGUGGGUUUGGGUACAUGGCAGGCUAAACCUGAAGAAAUUGAAAAAGUUGUGAUAGCUGCUCUAGAUGCUGGCUAUAAACACAUUGAUACUGCAUUUAAUUAUAAUAAUGAAGAAGCAAUAGGAGCGGUAUUAAAAGAAUGGUUUAGAAAAGGUGGGAAGCGCGAAGAUCUUUUUAUUACUUCAAAGUUACCUAAUUUUGGUAAUCGACCAUCAGAUGUAGAGAAGUUUAUUAAUUUAUCACUGAAAAGACUUGGUUUAGAUUAUUUGGAUAUGUAUUUAAUCCACAUGCCUUUUGCCUUUAAAUUAGAUGAAAGUACUUGUACCUCAGCAAUUAAUGAAGAUGGAAGUUUUAUGUUGGAUCUUGAUACAGAUCCUGUUUCAGUGUGGAAGGAAAUGGAAGAACAAGUAAGAAAAGGUCGUACAAAGUCUAUAGGUUUAAGUAACUUUAAUGAAAAACAAAUUUUAAAUAUAUGGGAGAAUGCACAAAUUAAGCCAAGUAACUUACAAGUGGAAUUGCAUGCAUACCUGCAACAAAAUUCGCUACGGCAAUUGUGUCAAACGCACAAUAUCAUUAUAACAGCCUACAGCCCCUUGGGAUCACCAGGAGCUAAAACGCAUUUUCAAACGAAAUAUAAUCAUAAUGUUGAAGACUUUCCAGAUGUUCUGGGACAUCCAAUAGUACAAAAAAUAAGCGCAGAACAUAAACGAUCACCAGCACAAGUUUUACUACGUUACUCAUUACAAUUAAAUGUUGUUGUAAUUCCAAAAAGUAAAUCUCCCGAGAGAGUUAAGGCAAACAUUGAUUUAUUUAGUUUUUCAUUAAAUGAAGAAGAAAUGAAAAUUUUGAGUACCUUAGACAAAGGUGUACGUGGAAGAAUUUUUAAUUUCUUGUUUUUUAAGGGGGUCGAGAAUCAUCCACAUUAUCCAUUUAAGGAUGAAUUACAGUCCUAGAUAAAAAAAAACAUUAUUAAGGUGUAGUUCGAAUUGUAAUCUGUACAACAUUUUACGUUGCAUACGAUGCUGAAGUUCUCCACGUCGUAUCAUUGUGUGUAUAACUUUGUAAAUAGCACGUUCUGGAUAUGCUUGUUUUACAAAAUCUUUAACAAUAUUUUGCUCUGAUACUUGAUUUCCAAUAGGAAAUCUACGUUUCAAUUGUUUUUCGAUACGUGAUAACAUUUCAUGAUCUUCAUCCGAGAUUACCAGCUAAAGACCCUGACAUUGCAGCAUCUAAAGUAGAUACUUGGAAAAGUCUAAGCGCUUCGUUCACGUGGAUUUGUGUAGCGAAAGGUUGUAAUUGCAUUUUAGCUAAAGAUUCUGAAAUUCUUAUAACAGCUUCC